GACGAACGCUGGCGGCGCGCUUAACACAUGCAAGUCGAGCGCAGCGGCGGACGGGUGAGUAACACGUGAGUAACCUGCCUUAGACAUUGGGAUAGCCUCGGCAAACCGUGAUUCAUCCCAAAUGGUCUAAGAUGGACUCGCGUCCCUUUAGCGAGUUGGUGAGGUAACGGCCCACCAAGGCGACGAUGGGUAGCCGGCCGGAGAGGGUGAAUGGCCACAGUGGAACGGAGAUACGGCCCAGAGUCCACGGGAGGCAGCAGUGGGGGAUAGUGCACAAGGGGCGAAAGCCUGAUGCAGCGACGCCGCGUGGGGGAUGAAGGCUUUCGGGUUGUAAACCUCACAUAUAGAAAGCGGGGUAGGUGGAGAAGAAGCGCCGGCUAACUACGUGCCAGCAGCCGCGGUAAUUC
rnacentral:rRNA from 1 species